rnacentral:misc_RNA from 1 species
GAUGAAGAAGGUAGCGAAAUGCGAUACGUAAUGUGAAUUGCAGAAUUCAGUGAAUCAUCGAGUCUUUGAACGCACAUUGCGCCCCCUGGUAUUCCGGGGGGCAUGCCUGUCCGAGCGUCAUUGCUGCCCUCAAGCACGGCUUGUGUGUUGGGCCUCCGUCCUCCUCCCGGGGGACGGGCCCGAAAGGCAGCGGCGGCACCGCGUCCGGUCCUCGAGCGUAUGGGGCUUCGUCACCCGCUCUUGUAGGCCCGGCCGGCGCUUGCCGACACAUCAAUCUUUUUUCCAGGUUGACCUCGGAUCAGGUAGGGAUACCCGCUGAACUUAAGAAUAUCAAUAAGCGGAGGA